AUGUAUGAAGAGGAUAUGAAACUACAGGGUCAGCGGAGCGGGGUGUUCAGGACGCCAGCAGGGCCCCUUUUUGUGCUGAGCCCUGAAGCUGUGAGCACUGAAACUCAGUACUUCGGGCCGGGCACCCGGCUGUCGGUGCUAGACGACCUGAGCAAGGUGACCCCACCCAAGGUGGCUGUGUUCGAGCCGUCAGCAGCAGAGAUCUCCCGGACCCAGAAGGCCACGCUCGUGUGCCUGGCCACGGGCUUCUACCCCGACCACGUGGAGCUGAGCUGGUGGGUGAACGGGAAGCAGGUCGAGACAGGGGUCAGCACGGACCCUCAGCCCCACAAGGAGGACCCCAGCCGCAACGACUCCAGCUACUGUCUGAGCAGCCGGCUGAGGGUCUCCGCCAGCUUCUGGUACAACCCUCGCAACCUCUUCCGCUGCCAAGCCUGGUUCCACGGGCUCUCGGACGAGGACGAGUGGAAGCAGGACAGGCCCAAACCCGUCACCCAGAACAUCAGUGCCGAGGUCCGGGGCCGAGCAGACUGUGGCCUCACCUCGGCGUCCUACCAGCAAGGGGUCCUGUCUGCCACCAUCCUCUAUGAGAUCCUGCUGGGGAAGGCCACCCUGUAUGCUGUGCUGGUCAGCGCCCUGGUGCUGAUGGCCAUGGUUAAGAAAAAGGAUUCCUGAGACCAGCUCCAAAAGUGCAUCCUGAGUCAUUCUUCAUCCUCUCCUUGGAUGUUCCUUAACAUGUUUCCAGUCUGUGUUCCUCAAGGGUUUCUCUCUCUCCACCUUCUUUUAUCUCCUUCCUACUUGGAUGUCUGUCCCUUCUCUCAACUUCCCUGCAGACUGAGCUCCUCCCCACUGAAUCUGAAAUUGAUUAAAGUAA